AGUGCCCUGCAGUGCCCCACAGCUCUCCCUGUUCCCCUCAGCGCCGGGCGAUGCUGCGGCGGCGGUGUGGGUGGUGGGACGCGUCGGGCACAGCGGUGCCGUACGGAGCGGAGGACGGAGCGGUGCUGGAGGCGCUGUGGCGGCGCGGGGGGCGCCGGGCGCGGCGGUGCUGUGCGGCCGCGGCGUCACCGUGGACCUGCGGCGGAUGGAGCUGUGCCACCCUGAUGGCACCGCAAUGCCGCUCACACGCAGCGCCGUGACGCCCAGCGUGCGUCGCCUGCUCGGCCCGGAUUCGUUGGGCGCGGAGGAGGCGGUUCGGCUGCUGCCAUUGGCGGAGGGCUCCGAUGAGUUCGCCAACGCCGUGCGCCGCUUCUAUGGCAGCCUAUGGGAGCUGCGCGGGCACAUCCGAGUGCUGAGGGCGCAGCAGUUGAUCCACCCGCGCCUUUACGGGCAGUUCCGGCGGCGCUGCGCGGAGUUGGAGCGGAGGGGGGACGGCGCGUGGACGGAACAGCUGCUGUUCCACGGCACCACCGCCCCCCGCGGGCUCGCGAUCUGCCUGCACGGCUUCCGCGCCCCCCCCGGCUCUCCCGGCGUUCCUUUGGCGGUGUCGGCGGCUGUGGCGCUCCGACGGUUCCAUUCGCCGCCCUCUCCCGACGGCACUCAGUGCGUUUUGGUGGUCCGAGCGCUGUGCGGUCGGGAGAGACCCCCGAACCGCCGCGGGGAACCCCGCAACGCGCGUCGCCGCGCCGUCCGCUUCUGCUGCCCUACGGCCGCAUACCCGCUGUACGUGCUCAGCUGCGUGCGCGUGCCCGAGGAGCGCGACCGGCUGCGUGCGCGUGCCCGCUGAUGGACGGGAGGAGCCGCGCGCGGAUGGAAACCGUCGAGAGUGCCAUACUGUGCCAUACUGAGCCAUGGACUCACCAGCAGUGCCAUACUGUGCCAUGGACCCACCAGGACUGCCAUACUGUGCCAUGGACUCACCAGGAGAGCCAUACUGUGCCAUACUGUGCCAUGGACUCACCAGGAGUGCCAUACUGUGCCAUGGACUCACCGGGAGAGCCAUACUGUGCCAUACUGUGCCAUGGACUCACCAACAGUGCCAUACUGUGCCAUGGACCCACCAGGAGUGCAUUGCUGUGCCAUACUGUGCCAUGGACACACCAGGAGUGCCAUACUGUGCCAUGGACUCACCAGGAGAGCCAUACUGUGCCAUGGACCCACCAGGAGUGCCAUACUGUGCCAUGGACUCACCGUGGUGGCGGUGCGGUGCCGCGUGCUGCCCAAGAAGGCCAUGUUUUGCCCCAUGCUGUGUGCUGUGUGGUUGGUGUGAGCGCGGCGUGUGCCGACGGUGGGGCGGUGCCGUGUGCCGUGAGCUCACCGUGGCUCUGCGGUGCUGUGCCAUGAGCUCACCGUGGCUCUGCGGUGCUGUGUGCCAUGAGCUCACCGUGGCUCUGCGGUGCUGUGCCAUGAGCUCACCGUGGCUCUGUGCUGUGUGCCAUGAGCUCACCGUGGCUCUGCGUGCUGUGCCAUGAGCUCACCGUGGCUCUGCGGUGCUGUGCCAUGAGCUCACCGUGGCUCUUUGGUGCUGUGCCAUGAGCUCACCGUGGCUCUGCGGUGCUGUGCCAUGAGCUCACCGUGGCUCUGCGGUGCUUUGGUGCUGUGCCAUGAGCU
ensembl:lncRNA